rnacentral:rRNA from 1 species
AUUGAACGCUGGCGGCAGGCCUAACACAUGCAAGUCGAACGAGUGGCGGACGGGUGAGUACUGUCUGGGAAAAUGCCCGAUGGAGGGGGAUAACUACUGGAAACGGUAGCUAAUACCGCAUACCAUCGGAUGUGCCCAGAUGGGAUUAGCUUGUAGGUGAGGUAACGGCUCACCUAGGCGACGAUCCCUAGCUGGUCUGCGAGGAUGACCAGUCAGUAGGGAACUGAGACACGGUCCAGACUCCUACGGGAGGCAGCAGUGGGGAAUAGUGCACAAGUGGCGCUAGACUGAUGCAGCCAGGCCGCGUGUAUGAAGAAGGCCUUCGGGUUGUAAAGUACUGUCAGCGGGGAGGCGUUACCCGCAGAAGAAGCACCGGCUAACUCCGUGCCAGCAGCCGCGGUAAUAC